rnacentral:rRNA from 1 species
UAUCCUACGGGACGCAGCAGUAGGGAAUCUUCGGCAAUGGGGGGAACCCUGAUGCAGCAACGCCGCGUGAGUGAUGACGGCCUUCGGGUUGUAAAGCUCUGUCUUCAGGGACGAUAAUGACGGUACCUGAGGAGGAAGCCACGGCUAACUACGUGCCAGCAGCCGCGGUAAUACGUAGGUGGCGAGCGUUGUCCGGAUUUACUGGGCGUAAAGGGAGCGUAGGCGGACUUUUAAGUGAGAUGUGAAAUACUCGGGCUCAACUUGAGUGCUGCAUUUCAAACUGGAAGUCUAGAGUGCAGGAGAGG